GCCGGAGUGGUGGAAUUGGUAGACACGUCGGACUCAAAAUCCGAUGAAGGUUAAACUUCGUGUGGGUUCGAGUCCCACCUCCGGUACCA
rnacentral:tRNA from 1 species